rnacentral:lncRNA from 1 species
GUAAAGGCGAGUGCAGGAAAUAAAUAAAGUAAAGGCGAGUGCGGGAAAUAAAUAAAGUAAAGGCGAGUAAUGAAAACCUGCUCCAAUCGGAGGGCUGAGUAAAUUGCAAUGCGGAAAAGAAAAUGGCGGCAGGAUUAACUUCCUUCCAAAGUGCUCCAAACUCGAUUACAGACUCUAUCACAGACUUGAUGACACAAUUGUG